GGGGGGGGGGGGGGGGGGGGGGAGGGGGGGGGGGGGGGGGGGGGGGAGGGAGCUGGCGCCGGGGUUGAGCGGCGGACGAGUGAGGACUGCCUAGGAAUCGGCCGGGUGGUGGGGGAUAACGUCCGGAAACGGGCGCUAAUACCGCAUACGGCCGGAGGGAGACAGUGGGGGAUCUUCGGACCUCACGCUAUCAGAUGAGUCUAGGUCGGAUUCGCUAGUUGGUGGGGUAAAGGCCUACCAAGGCGACGAUCCGUAACUGGUCUGAGAGGAUGAUCAGUCACACUGGAACUGAGACACGGUCCAGACUCCUACGGGAGGCAGCAGUGGGGAAUAUUGGACAAUGGGCGAAAGCCUGAUCCAGCCAUGCCGCGUGUGUGAAGAAGGUCUUCGGAUUGUAAAGCACUUUAAGUUGGGAAGAAGGGCAGUAAGUUAAUACCUUGCUGUUUUGACGUUACCAACAGAAUAAGCACCGGCUAACUUCGUG
rnacentral:rRNA from 1 species